rnacentral:rRNA from 1 species
GAUUCAGCCAUGCUAGUCGCACGGGUUCAGACCGCUGACGAAAAGCUCCGUAACACGUGGUCAAACUACCCUGUGGAGGAGGAUAACCUCGGGAAACUGAGGCUAAUACUCCAUACGGCUCCUCGCCUGGUAACGGCGGGAGCUAGAAAAGCUACGGUGCCACAGGAUGUGACUGCGGCCGAUUAGGUAGACGGUGGGGUAACGGCCCACCGUGCCUAUAAUCGGUACGGGUUGUGAGAGCAAGGGCCCGGAGACGGAAUCUGAGACAAGAUUCCGGGCCCUACGGGGCGCAGCAGGCGCGAAACCUUUACACCGCACGACAGUGCGAUAAGGGGAUCCCCAGUGCGAGGGCAUACAGUCCUCGCUUUUCUGCACCGUAAGGUGGUGCAGGAAUAAGGGCUGGGCAAGACCGGUGCCAGCCGCCGCGGUAAUACCGGCAGCCCAAGUGAUGGCCGCUAUUAUUGGGCCUAAAGCGUCCGUAGCCGGCCGAACAGGUCCGUCGGGAAAUCUGCUCGCUUAACGAGCAGGCGUCCGGCGGAAACCAGUCGGCUUGGGGCCGGAAGACCCGAGGGGUACGUCCGGGGUAGGAGUG